rnacentral:rRNA from 1 species
GAGUAACCUGCCCUCCACUCUGGGAUAAGCGCUGGAAACGGCGUCUAAUACUGGAUACUACCGACCCUCGCAUGGGGUGUUGGUGGAAAGAUUUAUCGGUGGUGGAUGGACUCGCGGCCUAUCAGCUUGUUGGUGGGGUAAUGGCCUACCAAGGCGACGACGGGUAGCCGGCCUGAGAGGGCGACCGGCCACACUGGGACUGAAACACGGCCCAGACUCCUACGGGAGGCAGCAGUGGGGAAUAUUGCACAAUGGGCGAAAGCCUGAUGCAGCGACGCCGCGUGAGGGAUGACGGCCUUCGGGUUGUAAACCUCUUUCAGCAGGGAAGAAGCUUUUGUGACGGUACCUGCAGAAGAAGCACCGGCUAACUACGUGCCAGCAGCCGCGGUAAUACGUAGGGUGCGAGCGUUGUCCGGAAUUAUUGGGCGUAAAGAGCUUGUAGGCGGUUUGUCGCGUCUGCUGU